rnacentral:misc_RNA from 1 species
AUUUUUUGUAUUGUUGUGUUUCACGUAAAAAUUCACCUUGAUCGCUAUUGCAACAGUAAAGCGAAGGGUACGAUAGAAUCGGUGAGAUGUCAUGUUCUAGGUCAUCAACCCGAUCAUUUUCAUUCUUUAACCUUCGAACAUGCUUGGCAUUAACAAAACCCAUCAAAGCCUUUACUUGUUCAUAACUAAGUAUUCCCUCAAUUGUCCAGGAUGGACUUUUCAACCCUUCAUGAUUCAAACUAUAACCAAAAAAGAACUCACGUAUAAAAACUAAGUGAAGGUACUUUUUCUCUUUUCUGUUAAAGAAUUUUUCUAAAAAAAACGAUUUAAAGAAAUUAAUAAUAAAAUCGUAUCAACCUGGACUCAAUAGCAUUACUAGAUUUGGAAGAUGAUUUGCCUAUACCUGGUUCUCAGGCAUUGAGAAAGGUGUCUGCGACAGAGGUACUUGAUUUACUUGUUGAACAUGAGUUGGCCUUUCCGAGCGAAUUUUUUGAAGAGUUGUCGAAUUUAUCAUUCUCUGAAAAACAAACGGCGUUAAGCAACCCCAAAACUCAGGUUUACACCAAAGGGGUGUUCGCUGCAGGACAGGUUGCUCAAAGGUGUAUUGCGGGUUGUUUAAGGAAAGGCAAUCCUAAUUACUGGAAAUCUCAACAGGUCGUAAAUGCAUGGGCGCGAUUGUUUCCUCGUCUGCGCUUCCUGUCCCGUCAGCAAAUUUCGGGAACUCAGGAGAUUGAAGUCAAGUUUUUACCAGACAAUUUAGGAGAUAAUAAGGACACUUGUCAUUUAUGUGGUUUAUCUGCCGAUGACUCCGUCGCUACUUUGGCACCUGCUGAAAUGCUCAUACGGAGUCAAGGAGCUUUUUGGCAUGAAGGCUGCUUGAAGUAUUAUAAGCACCAUUUUUCUAAAUAGAAUUUUCAAUUAUGGCUUUGCUGAACUUAAAAAAAGUAUGGUUUGACGAUGUUUCACUAGAAAAAUACAAAAUACUUCAUCAAUUGUGAGUCGUGGUUGGCACCUUUAUAAUUCAUUUUUUGAUAAAAGGGUACACCAGUCAAUAAUUUCUACUAGGUAGGUAUUAUUUGCAGCAUCGUCAUCUCACCUACCACUUAAAAUUUUUAUUGUUGAAUGAAAAUCAUUGUAUUCAUGAUGCGGCUAUUACAUGCCGGUUGUUUUAAAAUAUAUGACUAGAAGACUAUAAAUCAAAAGAAGUUUGAUUUAUAUUGCAAUUGUGCUAUUAUGAAUUUGUUGCAUUACCUUUUAUCAUCUCGAGCUUUAGUAAUAGGGGCCUGAAGCAUGUACAAAUCAGUAGCUCGUGAGUUUUGUAUUUAUGGAAUAUCUCAGAGUAUAAAAUGAAUAUUAAUUUAUUAUAUUACGAAUAUAUUCCUACCAAACUCCUAUGCUAGCCAAGGCCGAUUAAAUCUAAAACAAGUAACAAGUCACUUCAG